GCUUAGGAGACACAGAGCUCGUGCACAUAAAGCCCUUAGCUCAAUGCCUGGCCCAUGGGAAGAACUCUGCAUUGUAGCUUUUGAUAAGAGCAUGGACUCUGGAACUGAGUUCUGCCACUUUAGAGCUGACCUUGAGCAAGGGACUCAACCUCUCCGUGGCUCAGUUUUCUCAUCAGUAAUAUGGUGAUACGAUAGCACCUAAUUCAUAAGGUUUCUUCGCUACCCAAGUCAACGGUGCGGAGUGCAAGAACACACCUUUGGGAUCUUAUAAAUUCAGAUUUUAUUUAUUUAUUUGAGAGAGCAAGCAGGGG